AGCAGCCGCGGUAAUUCCAGCUCCAAUAGCGUAUAUUAAAGUUGUUGCAGUUAAAAAGCUCGUAGUUGAAUUUCGGGAUCAAGUCGUCGGUCGUGCUCAGGUACGUACUGGCGUCAUUGAUUUCUCCCUUCUGACGAACCAUGAUGUCAUUAAUUUGGUGUCAUGGGAAAUCAGGACUGUUACUUUGAAAAAAUUAGAGUGUUUAAAGCAGGCUCACGCUUGAAUACAUUAGCAUGGAAUAAUGAAAUAGGACGUUCGAUCCUAUUUUGUUGGUUUUUAGGAUCAACGUAAUGAUUAAUAGGGAUAGUUGGGGGCAUUAGUAUUCAAUUGUCAGAGGUGAAAUUCUUGGAUUUAUUGAAGACUAACUACUGCGAAAGCAUUUGCCAAGGAUGUUUUCAUUAAUCAAGAACGAAAGUUAGGGGAUCGAAGACGAUCAGAUACCGUCGUAGUCUUAACCAUAAACUAUGCCGACUAGGGAUCGGAUGAUGUUAAUUUUUUUAAUGACUCAUUCGGCGCCUUA
rnacentral:misc_RNA from 1 species